rnacentral:tRNA from 1 species
GCGUUCUUAGUUCAGUUCGGUAGAACGCGGGUCUCCAAAACCCUAUGUCGUAGGUUCAAUUCCUACAGAGCG